CAGGCUCUUGGGUCAGUCCUAUUGUCAUGACAGCAGGUUUUAUUUAGAUUCUUACCAGAGAGCAUGGAUACAGAUGCAUUUCUCCGGAUCCCUGCACUCACUGCUACCAUGCAAGAAUUUCCUUUUACCAUUUCUGGAAGUAACUCCUCCAUGCUUCUCAAAGAAGGAAUUUAGUCACCACAAGGAGAUGAGACUGGAACAAUCCGUGGAACUUAACACAUUCACCCUCCAGUUCCUCUUCUGUUCCCCUCCUACCACGCACUUCACUGAAAUUUCUGAAUGGAAACGCGGAAUUGUCUAGGCAUCCAGCUCCCAGCCUUCAGAGAGUCUCCAGGCAUGCCCUUCCCUGGCUCAGCGCCCGGUGCCAACAGAACACCUUGCAGGAUCCUCAGCAACGCAGACAACCCCCCACCUGCUCAACUCCAAACUUCUCCAGAAGGCGACCGACUAGUGCACCAGAGCCGGGACUCUUCCGCAGCCAGGCAGCCCUGUGCAGGCUGGUUCGUUCUGUGAUUCACUCUGGAUGGCUCUGUGGCUGCUACCAGCAGGAGAGACUGUGCCUUUCAGCCAUGCUGGCUCUGUGGGCACAGCAUGCACAGGGAGCGGUGUGUGGACACCUGCCUUUGACAUGCGUGGGGGGAUUGCUGCUCAUCCAAAACGCACCACAACUCAUACCUUGAGUUGGAGACCUGUGCCUGACCUUCCAAAGAGCAGCAAGUGCUUGGCCUCUGGUUUCCCUCCUGCUGUAUUUGAAGGAUUCCCUGCAGACCUCUCCUUGAGACUUACCUGGGCCUUUCUCUGCAAUUCUUGCUUUCUGUACCCUGAGGGAGCUGGAUGCUCAAGAGCAGAGGAUCUAUCAACUGCAGACCAAGCAGAGGGAGAGGCAGGCAGAACUGGAGCAGAAAUGCAGCCGGAUCCAGCAGCUCAGCCAGGACCUGGAGGCCAGCCACCAGCUGCAAGAGGAAGCUCAGAAGCAGUGCAGUACUUCCCACUGGAGUACUUCCCAAUGGAGCCUGGAAAAGAACAACACAGUGAACCAGCCCAAAGGUGAGAGAAGGGGAGGAGAGUUUGUGGGAUUUUGUCCUGAAGAGGAGGAGCCUGUGGAAGAUCACUGCCAUCCCCAGAUUCAGGAGGCUGCUGCAUGGGUAUGGCUGCAGCACACUGCAGAAAUGGAGUGAACAUCACAUUAAAUAGAUCUAAAUCCAAACAGUAGAAGAGGGAAAGAAAGGGAAAAGCAUUACUGAGGAAAAUCACACCAGCUGCAUGUCAGAAACUCUUGGAAAGAGGAACAAAGCCAUCUGUUCUCCAUGUCCAUGAAGGCAUGCACAAGAAUUAAUGGGUGUAUCCUGCACCAAGAAAGAUUCAGGUUAGGAACAGCUUCUAAUGGGGAGAGCAAAACACAUGAACAGACUGCCAGGGGCCAGGGGAUUCUGCAUCACCAGAGAUCUUCAAGGACAGAAACAAAAGAUAGGGCACUUGUACGUUCCCGUCUUAGAACAGGAGGAUGGGCCUGAGGGAUAUCAGCUUCUCAAGGCUCAUGCCAGCCUUGUUCAUUUCCUAAAUCUAACCUUGCUCAAACCUUGAAACUCAACUCUGCCUUCAGAGCCCCACUUUUCAGCACUCCUGUGAUAACAACAUACCAUUUACCAGUGUGAUUCUCCUUUCUAAAAAGUAACUGUGCUUGAGUCUUGGAUGGGUGCUCAUUUCCAGCUGUGAUUCACCUGAUCUUCGCAAGACUCAGCCCCAGCUUUGUGCUUCAGAUGGUGUCACAUCUCCAGCUGUGCUGUCCAUGUUCCUGUGCUGGGUGGCAGUGUUGGUUUGUGGGAGUACUCUUCCCUCUUUCUUGGCACCUCAUUGUUAUGCUCCUGCAAGCUUUGUCACAGGAGGCUUGCUGAGGAGUACACACGCUACUGUUUUCCCUGUAAAUUCAUCUUUAUGUGUCUUCCUCAUUAGUGAUGUUCCUUCAACACUCUUCUCGGGGAACAGGGUUCCCUUCUCUGUCCUGAGUAGGGGGUUGGGGGAUUCUGUAUGCAUGGAGUUGGUCCCCUUCCAGCCCUCUGGAAGGACAAGUAAUUAGAUCCACUCAAUUCCUCAUAAGGAUCCUUAGCACUCACCUGAACAUGCUGGACUGAUGACUCGGUGCUCCUUGACAUGUUCCAAAACAGCACACUGUCACUGUCUGGGAUGCUCCUGGGUAAAGACGUGCUCUGCAGGGUGAGCAGAGGCUUCAGUGCAGCUGGCUGAGAACUGGUGCCAGAGUUGUGAAUCAAGUAG